rnacentral:rRNA from 1 species
UACGAAGGGGGCUAGCGUUGCUCGGAAUCACUGGGCGUAAAGGGUGCGUAGGCGGGUCUUUAAGUCAGAGGUGAAAUCCUGGAGCUCAACUCCAGAACUGCCUUUGAUACUGAGGAUCUUGAGUUCGGGAGAGGUGAGUGGAACUGCGAGUGUAGAGGUGAAAUUCGUAGAUAUUCGCAAGAACACCAGUGGCGAAGGCGGCUCACUGGCCCAUAUCGACGC